rnacentral:misc_RNA from 1 species
GUGAAUCAUCGAAUCUUUGAACGCACAUUGCGCCUUCUGGUAUUCCAGGGGGCAUGCCUGUUCGAGCGUCAUUACAACCCUCAAGCUCUGCUUGGUAUUGGAUGUUACCUUGCCUGGUACACCUUAAAAUCAAUGGCAGUGCUCUUCAGCUUCAAGCAUAGUAAUACUUCUUGCUUUGGAGAUUGGAUGUGUGCUUGCCAGCAAGCCUCAUUAUGAAAGGUUGACCUCGGAUCAGGUAGGGAUACCCGCUGAACUUAAGCAUAUCAAUAAGCGGAGGA